rnacentral:rRNA from 1 species
CUACGUGCCAGCAGCCGCGGUAAUACGUAGGGUGCGAGCGUUAAUCGGAAUUACUGGGCGUAAAGCGAGCGCAGACGGUUAUUUAAGUCAGAUGUGAAAUCCCCGAGCUUAACUUGGGAACUGCGUUUGAAACUGGGUAACUAGAGUAUGUCAGAGGGGGGUAGAAUUCCACGUGUAGCAGUGAAAUGCGUAGAGAUGUGGAGGAAUACCGAUGGCGAAGGCAGCCCCCUGGGAUAAUACUGACGUUCAUGCUCGAAAGCGUGGGUAGCAAACAGGAUUAGAUACCCUGGUAGUCCACGCCCUAAACGAUGUCAAUUAGCUGUUGGUGCACUAGAUGCAUUAGUAGCGAAGCUAACGCGUGAAAUUGACCGCCUGGGGAGUACGGUCGCAAGAUUAAAACUCAAAGGAAUUGACGGGGACCCGCACAAGCGGUGGAUGAUGUGGAUUAAUUCGAUGCAACGCGAAGAACCUUACCUGGUCUUGACAUCCCUCUGACCGCUCUAGAGAUAGAGUUUUC